rnacentral:ncRNA from 1 species
ACGGUUUAAGUUCACCUUAAGUGAGGCCAUUCACCCAUAGAGAAUGCUACGCUAACGUUAAUGAUUAUUAGAGAGAGAGAGAGAGAGAGAGAGAGUUGUGUUGCUUGAUAGUGCAGCCCUAAGCGCCGCGGUAUAAUUCGUCUAAAACUAAAUAUAAGCGUGAGACCGAUGAGGGAAAGUUGAAAAUAACUCUGAAUAGAGAGUUAAAUAUAAUAAAUAGUACGUGAAACUGCUUAGAGGCUAAGCCCGAUGAUCCCGAUGAUCCCGAUGAUCCCGAAUAUCGAUUAUGGGAAAUUCCUCAUUAUGAUAAUUAUAUGAAUGGUCUGCAUUUUUUCCAUACUGCUAUAGACACCGUAUGUAUCUGCAAGCACACGCAAUGGACAUCUAUAGACGUCUAUGCACGUCAAUGGGUUAACAUUAAAAUUGACCAUAAAAUCAUUAGCUUCAAAUUAUUAUGCUCGCAUUUCACUACAGAAUAAAUGUUUUCGAUUUGAGAGAUCGUUAAUAGAUUUAUAUAUAUAUACGGUGCUUAAACAUAUUUACAUAUUUUGUAACGUACGACGUAUAAGUCAAUCAAGUUUAUUAUAUGCACUUAUAUGAUUUACGAUACGAAAGUUUCGUUCAGGUUGCCUUCGGGACUCAUCUUGCAACACGGACCAAGUUUUGGGUUUUGGGUUUUUUAAAGAGCUUAUAAUGAAAUUAACAUUAAUUAAUUAAUAUGGAAUUAAUUUUUAGUUCUAACUCAUUUAGACUAAUAGUUCAAGUCCGGGGCCUCUAUCUUGAGCAUAUGUACGUCACGCGAGAAAUCUCUACUUGAUGAGGUUAAAAUCAGUGAAGAGACGAAUCGAACCAUCUAGUGGCUGAUUCGCUCCGCAGUUUCCAUUGGGAUGGUUGGUGCAUUUAAGAGUUAUGUUAAAUAAUCUUGUCGGGCAAGGUGAAUGAUUAGAGUCCUUAAGGCCGAACCGAUCUUCAUCUAUUCUCCUCAAACUGUAGAUAGGUAGGAAACUCAUUUUGCUUGGUAUGAGCGUUGUUCUUGUGAUAUAAUGUGGCCAGUGAGUGGCCACUUUUGUUAAACAGAACAAGCAUUAUGGGAUACGCCAAACGUAAUGUUACGGCGCCCAAAUUUACAAUUUAUACCCUGAUACCCUGAAAGGCGUUGGUUGCUUAAAACAGCAGGACAGUGCGCUUGAAAGUCGCAAUCCGCUGAGCAGUGUGCAACAACUCACCUGCCGAAGGAAUUAGCCCUUAAAAUAGAGAGCCUUUAAGUUGAACACCUAUACAUUAUCGCUUAAGUAAACGUUUGAAAUUCAAUUAAUUUGGAUUUGGAAACUUUAAAACUUUAGCGAGUAGGAGGAUACAACGGCGAGCGUAGAUUCACUGAUGCGUAUCUUGAUGGUAGCAGCAAAUAAUCGAAUGAAACCUGUGAGGAUUAAAGUGGAGAACGGUUUCGUGUGAACAAUGGUUGAUCACGAGUUAGUCGGUUCUAACUUCAAGGCGAAAGCUGAAAAUCUUCAAGCUCUAUAUUAAGACUACAUAUUUAUAUGCAUAAGUGAUGUAUAAAAACACUUGAAAAUAAUUGAAUGGAAGCGAAUACGGCUCCAAUUCCGCAACCUGUUGAAUAUCCGUUUGCUUAUGAAAUAUGAGCCUUGAGCUCAUCCUGACAAGAGGAACUGCCAUAAAUCAGCCGUCGAGGAGUUUCGGAAGAGUUUUCUUUUCUGUUUUAUAAUCGCACCAAGGUGGAAGUCUGGUGGAGAGCGAUAUGAUAGAUCGGCUAAAGGAGUAUGACAUUUACCGUUGUGCCGAUAUUUUGUCCUCGGGCCUUGAAAGUUUUUGAUACUACGCCCAAACUUCUCAACAGACCGUACCAAUAUUCACAGUUGGUCCCUAAGGUGAAGAGUCUCUAGUC